CAGUCUGAUCCAGCCAUGCCGCGUGCAGGAUGACGGUCCUAUGGAUUGUAAACUGCUUUUAUACGGGAAGAAACCCUGGCUCGUGAGCCAGACUGACGGUACCGUAAGAAUAAGGAUCGGCUAACUCCGUGCCAGGAGCCGCGGUAAUAGAAUAU
rnacentral:rRNA from 1 species